UUAUGAAUUCCAGCUUUCUGUUAAGGCACACCCUAGGAGGCAGCAUUUGAUAGUUGAAGUACUUGGGUUUCUGUCACCCAAGUAGGAGAUGCAGACUGAGUUUUUUGUUCCUAACCUCAGCCUGGCCCAGCCCCAGCAGUUGCUAGCAUUUAGGAAGUAAAGCACCUGGAAUACAUUCUUUUCCUCCAGAGCCCUGAAAGUCUGGCAAGUUUAGGGGCUGAGCUCUGAAAGAAGAAUAUGUUGAAAACAAAUGAUAAUAGUUGGCAAAAAGAAAAAAAAAGACCCUGGGAAGUGGUGCUGAUGGCUCAAGUAAAUGAGUCUCUCCAAUUCACUUUGGAGACCUGGAUUGAGUUCUUGGCUCUUUGUUUUGGCCUGAUAGCCCUUGCCACUGCAGCAUUUGGGGGAGUGAACGAAUAAAUGGUGGUCUCUCUCCCUGUCUCAAAUAAGUGAAAAUAAAAAUAAAUUAGUUUCUGAGUUUUGAA